UACGGGGGGGGCAAGCGUUGUUCGGAAUUACUGGGCGUAAAGGGCUCGUAGGCGGCCAACUAAGUCCGACGUGAAAUCCCCGGGCUUAACCUGGGAACUGCAUUGGUGACUGGCGGGCUAGAGUAUGGCAGAGGGGGGUAGAAUUCCACGUGUAGCAGUGAAAUGCGUAGAGAUGUGGAGGAAUACCGAUGGCGAAGGCAGCCCCCGGGGCCAAUACUGACGCUCAUGCACGAAAGCGUGGGGAGCAAACAGG
rnacentral:rRNA from 1 species